UACAGAGGGUGCGAGCGUUGUCCGGAAUCACUGGGCGUAAAGGGCGCGUAGGCGGCCUGGCAAGUCUGUGGUGAAAGCUCGCGGCUCAACUGCGAGUCGGCCACGGAUACUGCGAGGCUCGAGUCUGGUAGAGGCUCAUGGAAUUCCGGGUGUAGCGGUGGAAUGCGUAGAGAUCCGGAAGAACACCGGUGGCGAAGGCGGUGAGCUGGGCCAGAACUGACGCUGAGGCGCGACAGCGUGGGGAGCAAACAGG
rnacentral:rRNA from 1 species